rnacentral:misc_RNA from 1 species
GAACAAAAGUUGGUCUCGCACAAUCCAGAAAGAAAGAGAGAGAGAGAGAAUAUGUGUGUAUGUGUGUUGUGUGAGAGAGAGGAGGAAAAGGGACAGGGAGUGAAGCCAAGCGAAGAAGUACGCCGACAUCAGACAUGCAGCGCCGACAAAAAGAAAAACGACCAAGAAGACGAAGAAAAAAAAAAGGAGAUCGUCAUUAAAGAUCGUGCGUGCACAGUGCACGCGUAACGCAGCCUCCGUCACAGAUUAUCUGGCACGAAUCGAUCAAGAUCAGUUACGUUGCAACUUUGCGUCGCUCGAUUUUACAACAAAAAGGAAGAAUUAACGCGAGCAAAGUUGGCGAAUUAAAUCUUUGAAUAGUCGAUAGAAUAUUUUGAUACGUUCGUCUGUUUUAGAACUCUUUGAGAACAUUUUUUUAGAACAUUUUCCACAAUAUUUUGAUCUCUCAUAUUAUUAUUACUCGUUCGUGGAUUUCUGAACGUCUUACGAUAUUUCGCAAUCGUCUCGUAUAUGAUACAAAGACAAAAAAAAAAAAAAAAAAA